rnacentral:rRNA from 1 species
AGAGCGAACGCUGGCGGCAGGCUUAACACAUGCAAGUCGAGCGGGCGUAGCAAUACGUCAGCGGCAGACGGGUGAGUAACGCGUGGGAACGUACCUUUUGGUUCGGAACAACCCAGGGAAACUUGGGCUAAUACCGGAUAAGCCCUUACGGGGAAAGAUUUAUCGCCGAAAGAUCGGCCCGCGUUUGAUUAGCUAGUUGGUGAGGUAAUGGCUCACCAAGGCGACGAUCAGUAGCUGGUCUGAGAGGAUGAUCAGCCACAUUGGGACUGAGACACGGCCCAAACUCCUACGGGAGGCAGCAGUGGGGAAUAUUGGACAAUGGGCGCAAGCCUGAUCCAGCCAUGCCGCGUGAGUGAUGAAGGCCCUAGGGUUGUAAAGCUCUUUUGUGCGGGAAGAUAAUGACGGUACCGCAAGAAUAACGCCCGGACUAACGUUCGCGCCAGCAGCCGC